UACGGAGGGUGCAAGCGUUGUCCGGAUUUAUUGGGUUUAAAGGGUGCGUAGGCGGCUAUUUAAGUCAGUGGUGAAAUCCUGCAGCUUAACUGUAGAAUUGCCAUUGAUACUGGAUAGCUUGAGUACAGACGAGGUAGGCGGAAUUUAUGGUGUAGCGGUGAAAUGCAUAGAUACCAUAAAGAACCCCUAUUGCGAAGGCAGCUUACUAGGCUGUAACUGACGCUGAGGCACGAAAGCGUGGGGAUCAAACAGG
rnacentral:rRNA from 1 species